rnacentral:rRNA from 1 species
UACGAAGGGGGCUAGCGUUGCUCGGAAUCACUGGGCGUAAAGCGCACGUAGGCGGCUUUUUAAGUCAGGGGUGAAAUCCUGGAGCUCAACUCCAGAACUGCCUUUGAUACUGAGAAGCUUGAGUCCGGGAGAGGUGAGUGGAACUGCGAGUGUAGAGGUGAAAUUCGUAGAUAUUGGGAAGAACACCGGUGGCGAAGGCGGCGCUCUGGACCGAGACUGACGCUGAGGCGCGAAAGCGUGGGGAGCAAGCAGG